CGAGGAAGGGCGGCGUCGUCCGCUUCGGGCGCUCUUAUUGCGGCUACUGCUUCUCCUCUGCCCGAUGACGACGCAGUGUGAGGGGGAAGGGGCGCACCUCGGUGCGUGGCAUCCAGGGCCCACUCCCCACGCUGUGCGAGAGCAGGCCAGGCAGCCCCCGCGGCCCUUUUUGCCCCUGCCAAUGCCGAGCCGCCGCUUCUGGUGGUGGCAGGGUGAGGCGCCUACAGCGUAGGGUGCGGUGAGAGCGACUCACCGCUGCCGAUGUCGGCGGUGAGGUCCUGGAUGGCGCCGCGUCGGAGCGGCCUGUCACGGUGGGCACGCUUGUGCCAUCCAUGUGGCGGGCAGAGUGCCGGCGUGACGGGAACGCAUCUCACCGGGCCCCCCACACGGCCCACUGGUGGUGGGGCGCCUGGGCCACCCCGACGAGGAUGCACCACGUGGCGAUCGCCACAAUGGGGUGGCGGGGUGGGGGGAGCGGCUGUGAGGAGACGUGCGAGGCGUGUGGUGUGUAGAAGGUGACGCAGGGGCCGUGCUCAGGUGACCGAGUCGGCGCGCUGCUGGAGCACGUGCCCCCCCUCGCUGCUUCGCACCACGCGAUGGGGGCCUGUGACGGUGCGGGGGGAGGGGGAGGGAGGCCGAGCAGAGUCUGAGCGCGCGCUGCAUGGCCGCCAUAGCUCUCGUUGAAGUCAUCUACUUGGCUGCAUCUUUUUUUUAGUCGUCAGAUACCGCAGCACUCUGUUCACCGUCGCCGGCAGGUACACACGCGUUUCGUUCCCUCUUGCCCUGUGGUGAUGCGGUGCCGGUGAUGCCGUAGCAGGGCCCUUCGCUGUUCAUGUGCUGAUUAUUUAUAUAUUUGUAACCACGCACACACCCACACACAUAUAUAUAUAUGUGUAGAUAUACAUAUGUGGAGAGGAUGAUGUGGAGCGAAGGGCGGCAGCGAUCGUAGCGAUGGUGAUGGGUGGUUUGCUGCCACCCGCUCCCUCUGCACUUCUUUUUCUGUGGUGUGUAUGUGUAUGUGCGUGUGUAUCGGUUGUUCCUCUGUCUUGUGUGCUGUUUCACCAUCGUAUCGGUGUCUCUUGCUGUCUGUGGGUGGCUUGCGUUCUUGUCGCCUCUGUUGUUGUGCCGUGCCACGUUGUGCGAGCACGAUAGCCAGUGCGCAAGAGCGAGAGAAUGCUUUAGGGAAAGAGUGCCGCCACGUUAGCAACAGC
rnacentral:misc_RNA from 1 species